AGAGUUUGAUCAUGGCUCAGGAUGAACGCUGGCGGCGUGCUUAACACAUGCAAGUCGAACGGAGUUUUUAAACCGAAGUUUCGGAUGGAAGUUUAGAACUUAGUGGCGGACGGGUGAGUAACGCGUGGGUAACCUGCCUCAUACAGGGGGAUAACAGUUAGAAAUGACUGCUAACACCGCAUAAUAUAGCGAAACCGCAUGAUUUUGCUAUCAAAUAUUUAUAGGUAUGAGAUGGGCCCGCGUCUGAUUAGCUAGUUGGUGGGGUAAAGCCUACCAAGGCGACGAUCAGUAGCCGGCUUGAGAGAGUGACCGGCCACAUUGGGACUGAGACACGGCCCAAACUCCUACGGGAGGCAGCAGUGGGGAAUAUUGGACAAUGGGGGAAACCCUGAUCCAGCGACGCCCGCGUGAGUGAAGAAGUAUUUCGGUAUGUAAAGCUCUAUCAGCAGGGAAGAUAAUGACAGUACCUGACUAAGAAGCCCCGGCUAACUACGUGCCAGCAGCUGC
rnacentral:rRNA from 1 species